ACUGAGCCACCCAGAUGCCCCUCCCUUUAGGUGUACAACAUAGUGAUUCGACAAUGCUGUACAUUAUGCUUUGUUCGCCAUGGCAGACACCUGUGGCUCAGCAUGAAGAGUACCACCAAGCCCACAAGCCCAGACAUGGUUACCUUUUUGCGUGGCCGAAGCUUGUCCCGCCAUUCCUUCAGGUUCUGGUUAUGGCUCUCAUCUAGAGCCUUCAGCUUCUGGGUUUCAUGUUCUACCAGGAGGUGACACUUUUCAUUCUGGAACAAAUUCCAGGCAGAACAGGAGAAAUUUGUAGUAAGGAUGAGGACAUGGACCUGAGACACUCCCAACAUUACCGUUCUCUCUCUGAGCCACAGGGAGCUGGUGUCAGAUGAAGACCUCAUGCCCUGCAAGACACAGAGCGGGCUGUGCUCAACCCACUAAGAAUGGUCAGUUUAUUGCACUGCAUUCCGAUCUGUGAAAACCGGUAGCCACCCACAGUACAUCGGAACGGUGAUUUGGCUUCCUGACCAAAAUCAGAACCACUGCCCCACAAGUAGGGUGGUUCUUCUGGACAUCAUGGGACAAAAAAAGAAAAUGCGGGCUUUCCUGAAACAUCUAUGGCUCCUCAGAACGUCAGAACAUGCAGGACCCCAUUUUGCUGGCCCGCACCCAAAUACUGAGGGGUCUACACUGCUCAGCUGUGUGGGCCAUCACAGCGCUGGCUGUAGGUUCUUCGUUGUGUCAGGAAGCCGGAGACGGUGCUGGUACCCUGGCCCUAUGUCUUUUACCUCUUCACGACAGGCUGCACCGUUGGCUCAAAAGCCCACAGGUGCCACACUCAAAUCUUCACCCAUCCAACUGUUUUACAUGUAGCUCAAACAACAGAUCUUUGGCCAUUUAGAGCCCACUUGCUUUGCACACCCACACAAAACUGCACCAAACAUCUGCUAGGCAGAGAUGAGAUAAAGCCAGGGCUAUAGAAAGACCCUAAGGCCCGCUGCCCUUCAGAGCUCUACCCUAGGACCCCCUUGCUGAGUGACCCCAUCCAGAUACAGAAGCCCUCCCUCCCCAGGAGUUCCUCUGCCCUCCCUCUGGGAGUGGCCCACACUGGGGUCUCCGGAAGGUCCCGUGCUGUGAGGGACCCGCCGGCGUGCAAACCUGUCAGAGCCCCACCACACCAGGGUGGUUAGGAGCUCAGCUUCAAGAGGAGACCCGCGGUCAAGGCCCACUCUACCACCCAUUAGCCAAGCAACCCCAGCCAAAGCACAGUCGCUCUGCAAGCAUCCGUUUUCUCGUCUACAAAAAUGCCUCGUUGCAUUAAGGUGAAGAUUCAAGGAGACUGAGCCAUGAAGACUGGCACACGGCCUGGCAAAGCAGUCGCUCGAUAUACAAUAGCUCAAUACUGUCCCCACUCCCGGCAGCCUGUUCACCCGGUGUACUUAUUUACAAUUUCUACCCACCCUAAAUCCCUCCCCUCCCUUAUCAGGAAUAAUGUUGGUGACAACUGGUAUCUGUGCCUCAGUCCUGACUUCAGUGGGGGUUGUCCCCAUGUUUCACUCUGAAGGAUGCUGUUUGGUGUUAGGAUGGAGAAGAACCUAGCAGUUCCUAGCAGAGCCCACUCUCUGGCACCCACCUCGAAGGAGUUCCUGCUUCCUAGUGAGACACUCGCGCUCCUUGUCACAAAUCUCCCGCCUGUUGUCAGCCGUGAUCUUCUUCAUCGCCAGCUCCAGGUCCUCCUUCUGCUUGGCCAGGAAGUCCCGGUCCUGUGUGGGAGAGAGGAGGACAGACCUUUAGCGCUGGCCUCGGCGUCUCACCCUCUACUGUUACUACAGAAGAAAAGUCAUCACGAGCAGCAGAGAAGACAUACAUGGGGAAAUGUGAGACUUAGAGACACGUCAACCAAUUGUGGCAAGUGCACUUUAUGUGGACCCUGAUUCAAUCAAAUUGUAAAAAAGAAAAAAAUUAAUGAGACAAUUGGAAAUGUAACUAAUGAUUCAACUGCAAAUAUGUCAAUAAGUAAUUAUUGUUAAAUAUUUAAAGGUUUAGGUACGUUUGUAGCAUUGUGGAUUUUUUGAGAGAUACAUACUGAGACAUUUACAGGUGAAAUGACAGGAUAUGUGGGAUUUGAUUUAAAAUAACACAGAAGGGUGGGGGAGUAAGGGAACAUGAGUUCAUAAUUCCUGAGAUCAGGUAAUAAGGGGGUUCUGGUUGUACCUAUUUCUGCCUGUAUUUUUAAUUUGCAAUAAUAAAGAGUUAAAAAAUUAAAAUUUAAAUACUUUAGGGAACACAUAAGCAAAAACAAAAAUCCCCACAAAUCCUAUCACCCAGGAGUAGCAACUGGUUUGGGGAUAUCUAUACAAACAUGUUUAUGUAAAAGGACUUAGAGAUUUGUACACCCAUAUUCGUAACAGCAUUAUUCACGAUAGCUACGGGGGAAACAACUCAACUAUCCACAGACAGAAGAGUGCAUAAACAAAAUGUAGUACAGAUACACUGUGGAACAUUACUCGGCCCUGAAAAGGAAGGAAAUUCUUACACAUGCUACAACAUGGGUGAAUCUCGAGGGCAUGUUAAUUGAAGUAAAGCAGACACAAAAGGACAAAUACUGCAUGAUCCCAUGUAUAGGAGGUCAGAUUCGUGGAGACAAAGUAGAAUGGUGGUUGCCAGAGACUGGGGGAGGGGUAUCAUGGGGUGUUACUAUUUAUUCAGUAGUAGUUUCAGUUUUGCCAGAUGAAGGGUUCUGGAGAUGGGUGAUGGGGAUGGUUGGCACAGUGGUGUGGAUGUACUUAAUACCACUGAACUGUAUGCUUAAAAAUGGUUAAGAUGCUAACUUUUGUUGGGUCUG